GAUGAAGAACGUAGCGAAAUGCGAUAAGUAAUGUGAAUUGCAGAAUUCAGUGAAUCAUCGAAUCUUUGAACGCACAUUGCGCCCGCCAGUAUUCUGGCGGGCAUGCCUGUUCGAGCGUCAUUACAACCCUCAGGCCCCCGGGCCUGGCGUUGGGGAUCGGCGAGGCGCCCCCCGCGGGCACGCGCCGUCCCCCAAAUACAGUGGCGGUCCCGCCGCAGCUUCCAUUGCGUAGUAGCUAACACCUCGCAACUGGAGAGCGGCGCGGCCAUGCCGUAAAACACCCAACUUCUGAAUGUUGACCUCGAAUCAGGUAGGAAUACCCGCUGAACUUAAGCAUAUCAAUAAGCGGAGG
rnacentral:misc_RNA from 1 species